UAGAUACCCAGCUUUUUACUGCAGCAAGGCUUUUUCUCUCAAGAUAUUUUAGGUCUUUGCCAAAAUAAUGAGAAAUCAGAAUAUACAUCCAUAAAAGACUUCCCAGAGAGCUGCCAAGGAGAGUUUGGAUUUUGUAUGAGCUGCUUCCACCUCUACUAGGAAGACAGGACACUGAGAAGGUGACCACCAGCAAUGGGGAGAAUACACCGUCGAUACCAAAGCCGAGAGAGCCACUGGGCACAGAGGGCUGAUAUUUGCCUCUUUAGGGUGCUCUCGCUAUUGGCCCCAAGGAGAACCCCUUUGUCCCGUGUGCCCAUCCACUGCAAGGAAAGGCCAGUUCAAGGGGUUUGGAUUUCAUCAGACACCAACAGCGUGGUUCGUUCUUGGUAAACACCCACAAAAUUCCCUCCCAGCUAAGAAUUUAAUCCUGCUCUCAUGUGGUCUGUAGAGGCGGCAGCCCGGGAGCGAGCUGGGGGGGGGAAGAUGGCUCACGGAACAGACAGACGGUGAGAAAACAGUCCCCUGUCAUGCCAGAGCUCACCCUGCCAUCGCGACGCACAGUUACCACUCACUUCAGCUCUGCAGUGACAUUUCUGACAAAAGGGAGAUGCCGAUAGUGCUAAGAUCCACAAUCAGGCGUGGCUCUGAGUCUGGUCUCUCUCUUUUACACUUGUGCAUUUGCAUCCUUCAAACGCUAUCCCUAGAAAAAGUACCAUUUAUAAUAUUUUCUAUCACGUCCCUUAUCUGUUUCCUGUAUGUUCCAAAAGAGAACGUGGGGGGGAAAUUUCGUAGAGAGCUUUCAAAUGUAACCCAUUAGGAAGAAUUGGUGUGAGACAGUGAUUCUGUCUUAGCUUUAGGGUACAGGUAGGCUAAAGACGUGGAAUGCAGGAAAACAGGUCUGAUAUGUUUAGAGGCUUGAACAUUUUUAUAGCCUGAAGAAAUCCAGAAUCUCACUGGAAAAGAUUUGCUUGGUUGAUUUUUGUUUGGUUUUGAUCUGCAAAUUACAGAAAGCUCACCAGAAAGCGUACCACAUGCGCUGCAUUCCUGCCGAAAGCAAGCUGCUGCUUUUCCAAUUAUCCCAGCCCCUGGUGCUUCUCAAUCGAGCUGGCAGAUUUUGACUUUCCAAAAAAAGAUCUGCUAGUUUGGGGACUUCUGGUCCCACUGCAACCAACCGCUGGAACCAAUGAGGCAUGGAGAAAGCAGCAUUUCUUACGGGAAAAGCUACACUGAGCAAAUACAGAAACACAUACUGAAACAAACUGAAAUAGCAACGUGCUGUGAAUGUUGGGAACGAGACCUGCAUGGAAGAAAGACACUGAAAAGACACCGUGAACGUCAGGUGGAGACACCCGCUCUGUUAGGGCCUCGCUGAGAUGGUUGCACCAGUAGCCUCCUCUCCCUGUGCGUUCCAAGGACAUUUGGACAAAGAUGUUAUUUUUUCCACUUGUUCUCUGUUGACUUUGUAAAUUAUUACAUUUUUCUUUCUGCCUUCUCCCAUGUGCUGCUCUUUUGGGCAUGGUACCCUGGUCCAAACCUAGCCACAAAGAAGUAAAUAUUUAUUGUGCACAGUUUAAA